rnacentral:rRNA from 1 species
CCUACGGGUGGCAGCAGUGAGGAAUAUUGGUCAAUGGGCGGAAGCCUGAACCAGCCAAGUAGCGUGCGGGAUGAAUGCCCUACGGGUCGUAAACCUCUUUUGCACGGGGAUAACACCCUCCACUUGUGGAGGUCUGCAUGUACCGUGCGAAUAAGGGCCGGCUAAUUCCGUGCCAGCAGCCGCGGUAAUACGGAAGACCCGAGCGUUAUCCGGAUUCAUUGGGCUUAAAGGGAGCGUGGGCGGGCGUUAAAGUCAGCUGGAAAAUUUGGCGGUUCAACCGAGCAGUGCAGUUGAAACUGGGAGGCUUGAGUACAGAAGAGGUAGGCGGAAGUGGUGGUGUAGCGGUGAAAUGCUUAGAUAUCACGAAGAACCCCGAUUGCGAAGGCAGCUGACCGGGGUGCGACUGACGCUGAGGCUCGAAGGUGUGGGUAUCAAACAGGAUUAGAUACCCGAGUAGUC